rnacentral:rRNA from 1 species
AGAGUUUGAUCCUGGCUCAGGAUGAACGCCGGCGGUGUGCCUAAUACAUGCAAGUCGUACGCACUGGCCCAACUGAUUGAUGGUGCUUGCACCUGAUUGACGAUGGAUCACCAGUGAGUGGCGGACGGGUGAGUAACACGUAGGUAACCUGCCUCGGAGCGGGGGAUAACAUUUGGAAACAGAUGCUAAUACCGCAUAACAACAAAAGCCACAUGGCUUUUGUUUGAAAGAUGGCUUUGGCUAUCACUCUGGGAUGGACCUGCGGUGCAUUAGCUAGUUGGUAAGGUAACGGCUUACCAAGGCAAUGAUGCAUAGCCGAGUUGAGAGACUGAUCGGCCACAAUGGAACUGAGACACGGUCCAUACUCCUACGGGAGGCAGCAGUAGGGAAUCUUCCACAAUGGGCGCAAGCCUGAUGGAGCAACACCGCGUGAGUGAAGAAGGGUUUCGGCUCGUAAAGCUCUGUUGUUGGAGAAGAACGUGCGUGAGAGUAACUGUUCUCGCAGUGACGGUAUCCAACCAGAAAGUCACGGCUAACUACGUGCCAGCAGCCGCGGUAAUACGUAGGUGGCAAGCGUUAUCCGGAUUUAUUGGGCGUAAAGCGAGCGCAGGCGGUUGCUUAGGUCUGAUGUGAAAGCCUUCGGCUUAACCGAAGAAGUGCAUCGGAAACCGGGCGACUUGAGUGCAGAAGAGGACAGUGGAACUCCAUGUGUAGCGGUGGAAUGCGUAGAUAUAUGGAAGAACACCAGUGGCGAAGGCGGCUGUCUGGUCUGCAACUGACGCUGAGGCUCGAAAGCAUGGGUAGCGAACAGGAUUAGAUACCCUGGUAGUCCAUGCCGUAAACGAUGAGUGCUAGGUGUUGGAGGGUUUCCGCCCUUCAGUGCCGGAGCUAACGCAUUAAGCACUCCGCCUGGGGAGUACGACCGCAAGGUUGAAACUCAAAGGAAUUGACGGGGGCCCGCACAAGCGGUGGAGCAUGUGGUUUAAUUCGAAGCUACGCGAAGAACCUUACCAGGUCUUGACAUCUUGCGCUAACCUUAGAGAUAAGGCGUUCCCUUCGGGGACGCAAUGACAGGUGGUGCAUGGUCGUCGUCAGCUCGUGUCGUGAGAUGUUGGGUUAAGUCCCGCAACGAGCGCAACCCUUGUUACUAGUUGCCAGCAUUAAGUUGGGCACUCUAGUGAGACUGCCGGUGACAAACCGGAGGAAGGUGGGGACGACGUCAGAUCAUCAUGCCCCUUAUGACCUGGGCUACACACGUGCUACAAUGGACGGUACAACGAGUCGCAAGCACGCGAGAGUAAGCUAAUCUCUUAAAGCCGUUCUCAGUUCGGACUGUAGGCUGCAGCUCGCCUGCAUGAAGUCGGAAUUGCUAGUAAUCGCGGAUCAGCAUGCCGCGGUGAAUACGUUCCCGGGCCUUGCACACACCGCCCGUCA